rnacentral:rRNA from 1 species
AUUGAACGCUGGCGGCAUGCCUAAUACAUGCAAGUCGAACGAGCGGCGGAUGGGUGAGUAAUGUCUGGGAAACUGCCCGAUGGAGGGGGAUAACUACUGGAAACGGUCGCUAAUACCGCAUACCAUCGGAUGUGCCCAUAUGGGAUUAGCUUGUAGGUAGGGUAACGGCUCACCUAGGCGACGAUCCCUAGCUGGUCUGAGAGGAUGACCAGCCACACUGGGACUGAGACACGGGCCAGACUCCUACGGGAGGCAGCAGUGGGGAAUAUUGCACAAUGGGCGCAAGCCUGAUGCAGCCAUGCCGCGUGUAUGAAGAAGGCCUUCGGGUUGUAAAGUACUUUCAGCGAGGAGGCGUUACCCGCAGAAGAAGCACCGGCUAACUCCGUGCCAGCAGCCGCGGUAAUUC